AGACAUGGGAAAGCUUGGAUACCUUAUGAGAAGCUGACUUCUCAGAUUGAUAAGACUAUGAGGAACAGAAUCUCUUCUCUGAAAUAUUCCUAUGGGGAUAAGCUAGCAGGGCUGAUGAGUCGUUGGUUUGAAGUGACGAUGUGAGACAAGUUCUCUCUUAGCUGAAUUAGAAAUUUUUUUCAUUUUUUGUUCUCUCUGGUUUAGAAGCUAGUUACUUUUGUUUUCUCUUUUUGUAAAUUCCUAUUAUUUUGCUGAUUAUCAAUAAA
rnacentral:lncRNA from 1 species